AACGAACGCUGGCGGCAUGCCUAACACAUGCAAGUCGAACGAGACCUUCGGGUCUAGUGGCGCACGGGUGCGUAACGCGUGGGAACCUGCCCUUAGGUUCGGAAUAACUCCCCGAAAGGGGUGCUAAUACCGGAUAAUGUCUUCGGACCAAAGAUUUAUCGCCUUUGGAUGGGCCCGCGUUGGAUUAGCUAGUUGGUAGGGUAAAAGCCUACCAAGGCGACGAUCCAUAGCUGGUCUGAGAGGAUGAUCAGCCACACUGGGACUGAGACACGGCCCAGACUCCUACGGGAGGCAGCAGUGGGGAAUAUUGGACAAUGGGCGAAGGCCUGAUCCAGCAAUGCCGCGUGAGUGAUGAAGGCCUUAGGGUUGUAAAGCUCUUUUACCCGGGAUGAUAAUGACAGUACCGGGAGAAUAAGCUCCGGCUAACUCCGCG
rnacentral:rRNA from 1 species